ACGUGUUCUGAAGAAAUCUGCUUGGGAUGCUGAUUUAGAUGAGAAGAAUCUAUUUCCAGAGUCAACAGUGAUGGCAGAUAAUCCAAACAUCUAAAGAUGUGGCCAACCCUUUAUGCAACAAAUAUUUAUUGAAUGGCUGCUUGCAAGAGUGAACAGGACGAGGUUUCAGCCGCCGAGUGUUUUCAUUCUCGAGGGGAGACAGACGACAAACACACACACAAAUUACGUCAUUAAAAGUUGUAAAAGAUGUUGAGAAGAAACAUAAAUCAGAUGGAGUUGUUAUCCACUGUUGUACCCCCAGCACCUGGCACAAUGGCUGACACAGUUGCCCUUGUUUUCAAGCAUCCACCAUGCGUCAGGCACUGUACCAAGUGCUGGAUGAGUGAAGGCAACAUGGUUUGCUUCCCAGAAGCAAGCUGAGCGACAAAGAUUCUCUGAAGGCAGAGCUGAAAGAGACUCCUUAAGGAAGCCCGCCCUAGCCAGCUCUGCAGGGAGCUUGGAGGUGUAGACCCCAGUUCCAGGUUGUCUCUGGUUCAAGGUAAGGAAGCCAGGCCCUCGUCCCCCUGUGUUAGAAGUCACUGGCUGCCCCCACUGAGAUGGAAGCGCUCAGGCAUUUUGGAUUGCCUGCACAGGGAGAGGAAAGCCCCUCUGGGAGUUGAGGGCAGCCUGGCCACAGGUUCCACUGUUAGGAGCAAAGGUUCAAGGCAGGUAAGGGAGAAGAGCACAGAAAUGGUAAGACGGCUGCCCGCGCAGGGGUCCGAGUGUCACCAGGCUGCCACCUUCUCUGUAAAGGGUUACCAUCUAGUGAGUGGUGGAGAGAGACUGGCAGGAAGGAACAAUGGCCGGGUGUGUCAUCAGCAAAUACUGUAAGUACCUGUGGCACAGACUCGGAGGAGGGCGUCUGCCUGGAAUGGGCACCGGAGGUGGAUGUCCCCAGCCUGCAGGCACCCUGCACCGUUUGCCCUUCCCCCUCCUUCCUGGGCUGUGGGCGGAGUGGCCAUCAUACCACCAUGAGGGGACAUGGAUGAGGACCCAAGUUCCCAGGAAGGCAGGUGGAAGGCUGGAAGAAUCCCCUGCCUCUGAUGGCAUCAUGGAGCCAGCGCAUCGUCCCCCGGACCGUUACCCCCAGACUUCUUCCCUGUGAGGAAAACGAGCCCCUGGUUUUCAGACUUUCUCUAUCAGGUGCAGCUGAAUUUAAUCCCAAGCAGGGCCCAAGCCUCGGAGGAAGGUCAGCUCAGAGUAAGUUCAAUUUCACAGGAUGGAAGGAGAGGGAAGUGCUAAUGUGGGUCAGAAGGCUUCUCAAAGCAGC